GGAGCUGUAGCUCCAUGAUAGAGCCUCUGCUUUGCAUGCAGAAGGUCCCAGGUUUAAUCCCCAGCAUCUCUG